GACGUAGGGCGCGAGCGUUGUCCGGAUUUAUUGGGCGUAAAGAGCUCGUAGGCGGCUUGUCGCGUCGACUGUGAAAACCCGCGGCUCAACUGUGGGCUUGCAGUCGAUACGGGCAGGCUGGAGUUCGGUAGGGGAGACUGGAAUUCCUGGUGUAGCGGUGAAAUGCGUAGAUAUCUGGAGGAAUACCGGUGGCGAAGGCGGCAUCCUGGACCGGCAUUGACGCUGAGGAGCGAAAGCUAGGGGAGCAAACGGG
rnacentral:rRNA from 1 species